rnacentral:lncRNA from 12 species
AUUGCUGCCCUUGCUGGCUCCACUUCAGCCCUCUGAGCUGGUGCCUCAUGACACUCCCAGGUCUUUCUGGCUGCCUCUCAGCUUUGAACUUUCUCAGCAGCAAAUCCUGGAGCUCCUGCAUUGCUGGAUGAAGCUUUUUACUUGCACUUUAGACAGAAUUGUGAUAUUCUUGGUGCUGUGUGAGGAUUGAAAUUCCCAGGGCUCCACUGAGCCAGCAGGGACAGAGAGGAGGUGGCUGGGCUGGUGUUGGACUGAGGUGUUUGCCCAGUGGGAGCUGCAGUGCCACCCACACCUCACCAGGCACUAAGUGACUGUAAAACAGGAGGGACAGGUCAGGGACGUGUCCCCUCAGCCUCCUGGUUCAAGACAAAGACACUGAAAACCUCAGCUGUGCAAUUCUGGUUCUCUUACAGGAACAGCAGAGUUCCAGUGCAUUGUCCCCCAGCUGGGCUGUGUUAGUGUGAUUAGAAAAACCCUAAACUGAUGUGUGGUAUGAAUUGUAAGGAGAUACAGCCAUGUGGUGUAACUUUAAGUCCAUGGGGUACUGGGUAGUAGAAGUGGAAGAACAUACCUCAGUACCAAUCUCCUGAGCAUCCAAAAGUGCAUGUUUGAAUUCAGCACAGCUGCAGAUUAGGGAAUUAGAAAGGAUACUGGCUGUCAGUUCACAUUUUUAAAAUGACUGAUAUUUUUUUUUCUGUAAACAUCUGCUUAUAAAUGGGUUUCACUAUGACACAGACUUUUGGAAAGGAGACUGUUCACAAAUUCUCUUUCCAAGUUCCUGUUGAGUAUUAAAUUUCUGUACAUUCCAACUCAGAGGAAAAAUCUAUUUGAGAACAAUUUUUCCUGUCCUUACUUUAAAAGAUCUCAAACAAAUAUAGCUAUUGUUGCUGAUCAGAAGCAUUUAACAUUUAAUUUGUAUUCUUCAUCUUUAGUCUCCAGGGUGUUAAGGUAGAUGAUAAACAAGAACACAUCUAGCUCUUCCUACCACUCCACAUGCUUCUGUGGUGUUCCCUAUUUCCACAGCUUCAGCUCUUGUCCUGGACACUCCUUCCCAUGGGAGUUUGUGGGAAAGGAGACUGCCUCCCAAAGCAAGUGAUCAUUGUGCUGUGCUCCCUGCUUCCUGAGAUCCUCCUGCUCUCCCUGACAAGGGAUGGGAUGCUAAAAGCCCAGCCAGCAGCUCCUGGUGUUUUCAGCUCUUUUGGCAUUCUUCUGUAGUCUUCAAAAAGUGAGACACCCC